rnacentral:snRNA from 1 species
AGCCUCAACGCACGCCACUU